rnacentral:rRNA from 1 species
GACGAACGCUGGCGGCGUGCCUAAUACAUGCAAGUAGAACGCACAGUUUAUAUCGUAGCUUGCUACACCAUAGACUGUGAGUUGCGAACGGGUGAGUAACGCGUAGGUAACCUGCCUGGUAGCGCGGGAUAACUAUUGUGAACGAUAGCUAAUACCGCAUAAUAUUGAUUAUUGCAUGAUAAUUAAUUGAAAGGUGCAAUUGCACCACUACCAGAUGGACCUGCGUUGGAUUAUCUAGUAGGUGGGGUAACGGCCCACCUAGGGGACGAUACAUACCCGACCUGGGAGGGUGAUCGGGCAAACUGGGACUGGGACACGGCCCAGAACCCUACGGGGGGCAGCAGUAGGGAAUCUUCGGCAAUGGACGAAAGGCUGACCGGGCAACGCCGCGUGGGUGAAGAAGGGUUUCGGAUCGUAAAGCUCUGUUGUAAGAGAAGAACGGGUGUGAGGGUGGAAAGUUCACACUGUGACGGUAUCUAACCAGAAAGGGACGGCUAACUACGUG